UGGGGAAUAUUGGACAAUGGGGGAAACCCUGAUCCAGCAAUGCCGCGUGAGUGAAGAAGGCCUUCGGGUUGUAAAGCUCUUUUAUUGGGGAAGAUAAUGACGGUACCCAAAGAAUAAGCUCCGGCUAACUUCGUGCCAGCAGCCGCGGUAAUACGAAGGGAGCUAGCGUUGUUCGGAAUUACUGGGCGUAAAGGGCGCGUAGGCGGCCGUUUAAGUUAGAUGUGAAAGCCCCGGGCUUAACCUGGGAAUUGCAUUUAAUACUGGACGGCUUGAGAUCGAGAGAGGAAAGUGGAAUUGUGAGUGUAGAGGUGAAAUUCGUAGAUAUUCACAAGAACACCAGUGGCGAAGGCGGCUUUCUGGCUCGAUACUGACGCUAAGGCGCGAAAGCGUGGGGAGCAAACA
rnacentral:rRNA from 1 species